rnacentral:piRNA from 1 species
UUGGAUGAUGCAUGCUGGCGUUUUCUAAA